UUUAGAAAAAUACUUAUACAUUAUGAUAUUUACACCAGAAGUGGUGUGAAUCAUAGCCAGUUGCAUUCUGUAAACACCUUGGUUACAAAAAUGAUCAAUGGAGUUCUUUAAUAGAAUGCAAGUCUGCCAUUGUUUAGAAAACACCUGAAUCGUUUUCAGGAUUUGAAGUAUGUCAGCAUUGUCUGAACACAGUGGUCAAAUGCUAUCAAGUGAAUGAGAAAUCAUCACUCAGUUCAACAUUUAUUGAACACCACAAUGCUAGAAUCUAGGAAUUCAACUGUGAAUAAGGAAGUUAUGGUGUACUCUCUGUAAACUUCUCAUAAAUAAUGUCUAAAAUACAACAACAUUCCUAUUGAUGUAUAUUGCUUGCUUCCAAAGACUAUGACGCCUGUAUCCUCACACGUACAUCACCUUUAUUUUUCCUAUUCAGGUAGGCUUGGUGAUGAAGAUGGAGUAACGAAACUGACAGGUAAAUGAUAUUGCACCAGAUUAUAACUGAUAUCAGGAUGAUUUCUGCUUUUCAGGAGUGGCCACAGGUACCAAAGGAUGGCACAUCAUACCAGGAAUUUGUUGAUCUAGUGCAGUGGAACUGCAAGGCAGAGUUCAGCGGUAUCGGGAUCAAAGGAUUAGGAAGCCGCAGCUUUAAGGGAGGCAAGCAGCAUGAGAAGACUUUGUGGAGGCAGCUCUGAGCAUUUUAUAAGAAUAAAUUGAGGCCCUGCAAGGAUUAAGGAAUCUGUACAAAGUCACACGCAGGCUGAACUAUGAAAAGCAACUAGAGGACAUUCUCCCCCUUGAAGAUAAUCACUUUUAUUGUUGCCGGGUCAAAGAUUCAGAUUCCACGCAGCAACCUCUGACUAAAGAACAGCAAGUCCUUUCAGGUCAGAAAGUCCAAUAUGCAGCCCCCUCAGAAGCAUAGCAUAAUAGUCCUAAAAUAACAAGCAUACAUGUAGCUUUCUUAAUUUGCCCUGCUGGGUUCCUGUAAUAAGUACUUAACAACUGUAGGCUCUGAGCAGCUCAGCAGACAUCAACAAGACCAUUUGCCAGAUGAUUUAGCAAACAAAUUUCCGAGCAUCUCAUGCUUAUGUUGAGUGCGUGACAUUAGCAAACAUGCAGGGACUUAGAGAUAAUAAUAGUAGAUAGGAAUUUUACAAAUUAAAAAGAGAGAGAAAGAAAGAACGGGAAUUUUGAAGUCUAGAGAAUUUAGGCUGAUAUGCCAAAUUCUCUGGCUAGAAUGAAGUCCCCCAGAUGAAUACUCAGUAACUUCUGCUAAUUUUUUACUCCUUGAGCAAAUAAUCUGAAAUUGAGUUAUUGGGAAGGGACAAAAACUCUGGAAUGACUUCCAGGGGAGGAAGAAAAGAAUAGAAACCACCUUAUUUUUUAGCACAAGUAACUGACAUGAAGCAAGCACAAAACACGAAAGGUUCUCAGUAAAUAUUUAUUGAAUGAAUGACUCCAUGUCUAUGACACGCAUGAGGAAUUGACAUCUCCAUAAAGAAAGCUAGCAGAUUCUCAACAAAUCAUAGGGGUUAGGUAAGCGGGUAGGGCGAAGGCAUUCAUCAAGGAAUCCCUCUCCAGUGUCAGGAAUCCAAGGCUCAGAGAGGGAGACAUUCUCGUGAAUCCAUCAGCAGCCCCCUGGCCCAUAACAGACUCCUUGAGAUGCUUCUAAGUGAGAGGGAAUCCAGGUGGCAAUGGCACUUACCAUUUUAAGAGCUGGAGCAAUCCUGAGGCUCUGUGGGGAAAGCAAUCAUCCCCAAAACAGGAAAACAAAUCUGACAAUAGAGCAGGGCUGGUCCUCAAUAGCCUGGGCAUGAGGAGCCAGGAAACCUGCUCUGAGGAGGGAGGUAAUUAUCCCAUCACUUCAGGUCACAGGGAAAUUCUAUUCUGUUUUCCGAGGCAACAUUUUUAACACUUACACAGACAUUUUAAAUGUGAACAACUCAAGCAAUCAUCCUAUUAUAUCUGUUAGUUUAGCUGAUUUCUUUCUUUUUUUUUUUUAA
rnacentral:lncRNA from 1 species